rnacentral:rRNA from 1 species
AGUGAAGCGAACGCGGUGAACUGAAACAUCUAAGUAACCGCAGGAAAAGAAAUCAACCGAGAUUCCCAAAGUAGUGGCGAGCGAAAUGGGAUGAGCCUUGCACUCUUUAUUUGUAUUGUUAGCCGAACGCUCUGGAAAGUGCGGCCAUAGCAGGUGAUAGCCCUGUAGGCGAAAACAGUAUGAAAGAACUAGGUGUGCGACAAGUAGGGCGGGACACGUGAAAUCCUGUCUGAAGAUGGGGGGACCAUCCUCCAAGGCUAAAUACUCGUGAUCGACCGAUAGUGAACCAGUACCGUGAGGGAAAGGCGAAAAGAACCCCGGGAGGGGAGUGAAAUAGAUCCUGAAACCGCAUGCAUACAAACAGUCGGAGCCUCGCAAGGGGUGACGGCGUACCUUUUGUAUAAUGGGUCAGCGACUUACGUUCAGUAGCAAGCUUAACCGUAUAGGGCAGGCGUAGCGAAAGCGAGUCCGAAUAGGGCGUUCAGUUGCUGGGCGUAGACCCGAAACCAGGUGAUCUAUCCAUGGCCAGGAUGAAGGUGCGGUAACACGUACUGGAGGUCCGAACCCACUAACGUUGAAAAGUUAGGGGAUGAGCUGUGGAUAGGGGUGAAAGGCUAAACAAACCUGGAAAUAGCUGGUUCUCUCCGAAAACUAUUUAGGUAGUGCCUCGUGUCUCACCUUCGGGGGUAGAGCACUGUCAUGGUUGGGGGGUCUAUUGCAGAUUACCCCGCCAUAGCAAACUCCGAAUACCGAAGAGUGCAAUCACGGGAGACAGACAUCGGGUGCUAACGUCCGGUGUCAAGAGGGAAACAACCCAGACCGCCAGCUAAGGUCCCCAAAUAUAGCUAAGUGGGAAACGAAGUGGGAAGGCUAAAACAGUCAGGAGGUUGGCUUAGAAGCAGCCACCCUUUAAAGAAAGCGUAAUAGCUCACUGAUCGAGUCGUCCUGCGCGGAAGAUGUAACGGGGCUAAGCUAUAUACCGAAGCUGCGGAUGCGAGCUUGCUCGCAUGGUAGGAGAGCGUUCCGUAAGCCUGCGAAGGUGCCUUGUAAAGGGUGCUGGAGGUAUCGGAAGUGCGAAUGCUGACAUGAGUAGCGAUAAAGGGGGUGAAAGGCCCCCUCGCCGUAAGCCCAAGGUUUCCUACGCAACGUUCAUCGGCGUAGGGUGAGUCGGCCCCUAAGGCGAGGCAGAAAUGCGUAGCUGAUGGGAAGCAGGUCAAUAUUCCUGCACCAUUGUUAGAUGCGAUGGGGGGACGGAUCGCGGAAGGUUGUCCGGGUGUUGGAAGUCCCGGUCGCUGCAUUGGAGAAGGCGCUUAGGCAAAUCCGGGCGCG